rnacentral:hammerhead_ribozyme from 1 species
AUCCAGUUGACGAGUCCCAAAUGAGACGAAACGACACGCGUCCUGGAU